rnacentral:lncRNA from 1 species
UGAGAAUGCUUCUGUCUAGUUUUUACUUGAAGAUAUUUCCUUUCUCACCAUAGGCCUGAAAGCGCUUGAAACGUCAGCUUGCAGAUACUACAGAAAGAGUGUUUCAAACCUGCUCCAUGAAAGGGAAUGUUCAGUCCUGUGACUUGAAGGCCAACAUCACAAAGAAGUUCCUGAGAAUGCUUCUCUCUAGGUUUUAUAUGUAAUCCCGUUUCCAACGAAAUCCUCAAAGCUAUCCAAAUAUCCACUUUCAGAUUCCACAAAAAGAGUGUUUCAAAACUGCUCUGUAAAAAGAAAGGUUCAUCUCUGUUAGUUGAAUACACGCAUCACAAACAAGUUUCUGAGAAUGCUUCUGUCUAGUUUUUAUGGGAAGAUAUUUCCUUUUUCAACAUAGGCCUCAAAGCGCUCCAAAUGUCCACUUCCAGGUAGUGCAGAAAGAGUGUUUCAAACCUGCUCUAUAAAAGGGAAUAUUCAACUCUGUGACUUGAAUGCAAACAUCACAAAGCACUUUCUGAGAAUGCUU